rnacentral:rRNA from 1 species
UUGACUGUGAGACAGACAAGUCGAACAGGGACGAAAGUCGGGAAUAGUGAUCCGGCGGUGCCGAAUGGAAGGGCCAUCGCUCAACGGAUAAAAGCUACCCUGGGGAUAACAGGCUUAUCUCCCCCAAGAGUUCACAUCGACGGGGAGGUUUGGCACCGCGUUGUCGGCUCGUCGCAUCCUGGGGCUGUAGUCGGUCCCAAGGGUUGGGCUGUUCGCCCAUUAAAGCGGUACGCGAGCUGGGUUCAGAACGUCGUGAGACAGUUCG